rnacentral:tRNA from 1 species
UUAAUUUAAAAGACAGUAGUUAAACUCUACUAUUAAGGA